GGAGCAGUGACCGAGUGGCUGAAGGUGACGGUCUUGAAAACCGUUGUACCGCAAGGUACCGCAGGUUCGAAUCCUGCCUGCUCCG
rnacentral:tRNA from 1 species